GACGAACGCUGGCGGCGUGCCUAAUACAUGCAAGUAGAACGCUGAAGGAGGAGCUUGCUCUUCUGGAUGAGUUGCGAACGGGUGAGUAACGCGUAGGUAACCUGCCUGGUAGCGGGGGAUAACUAUUGGAAACGAUAGCUAAUACCGCAUAAUAGUAGAUGUUGCAUGAUAUUUAUUUAAAAGGUGCAAUUGCACCACUACCAGAUGGACCUGCGUUGUAUUAGCUAGUUGGUGGGGUAACGGCUCACCAAGGCGACGAUACAUAGCCGACCUGAGAGGGUGAUCGGCCACACUGGGACUGAGACACGGCCCAGACUCCUACGGGAGGCAGCAGUAGGGAAUCUUCGGCAAUGGACGAAAGUCUGACCGAGCAACGCCGCGUGAGUGAAGAAGGUUUUCGGAUCGUAAAGCUCUGUUGUAAGAGAAGAACGAGUGUGAGAGUGGAAAGUUCACACUGUGACGGUAUCUUACCAGAAAGGGACGGCUAACUACGUG
rnacentral:rRNA from 1 species